GAUGAACGCUGGCGGCGUGCCUAAUACAUGCAGGUCGAGCGAACGGACGAGAAGCUUGCUUCUCUGAUGUUAGCGGCGGACGGGUGAGUAACACGUGGAUAACCUACCUAUAAGACUGGGAUAACUUCGGGAAACCGUAGCUAAUACCGGAUAAUAUUUUGAACCGCAUGGUUCAAAAGUGAAAGACGGUCUUGCUGUCACUUAUAGAUGGAUCCGCGCUGCAUUAGCUAGUUGGUAAGGUAACGGCUUACCAAGGCAACGAUGCAUAGCCGACCUGAGAGGGGGAUCGGCCACACUGGAACUGAGACACGGUCCAGACUCAUACGGGAGGCAGAAGUAGGGAAUCUUCCGCAAUGGGCGAAAGCCUGAGGGAGCAACGCCGCGUGAGUGAUGAAGGGCUUCGGAUCGUAAAACUUUGUUAUUAGGGAAGAACAAAUGUGUAAGUAACGGUGAACGUUUUGACGGUACCGAAGCAGAAAGCCACGGCUAACUACGU
rnacentral:rRNA from 1 species